GACGAACCUGGCGGCGUGCCUAAUACAUGCAGUCGAGCGGAAAUUUUAUUGGUGCUUGCACCUUUAAAAUUCAGCGGCGGACGGGUAGUAACACGUGGGUAACCUACCUUAUAGAUUGGGAUAACUCCGGGAAACCGGGGCUAAUACCGAAUAAUACUAACACAUGUUUGAGUUGAAGACGGCAUCUCGCUGUCACUAUAAGAUGGACCCGCGGCGCAUUAGCUAGUGGUGAGGUAACGGCUCACCAAGGCAACGAUGCGUAGCCGACCUGAGAGGGUGAUCGGCCACACUGGGACUGAGACACGGCCCGACUCCUACGGGAGGCAGCAGUGGGAAUCUUCCACAAUGGCGAAAGUCUGAUGGAGAACGCGCGUGAGUGAGAAGGAUUUCGGUUCGUAAAACUCUUCAAGGGAGAACAAGUAGCGUGUAACUGGCGCUACCUGACGGUACCUUUAGAAAGCCACGCUAA
rnacentral:rRNA from 1 species